UUGGGUUGGGGAUGGUGGAUUUGGGUUAAUAGAACGAGAGAAGGAAGGAAUGGGAGGAGGCAAGCCGCAAGGCAACAAUUAUUCCCGGAACCCAAUGAGAGAUGGGUGAUGCUGAUGCAGUUUCUUACGAAAUCACUAUCGGCUUCUGUGUGAGUGGGCCAUCCUACCUCUCCUUCCGAUGUCCAAUCCAGAAGCAAAAGGGUGGGCUGGACAAGAGUACUUUCUCAACAGCAUCAACGCCCAUCGUGACACGGCAACACCCUCCACCCGAUUGGUGUCUGAAAUCCCCUGGAUAUGGAAAUUGGAUUAGAAGGGGAGCCGUUCCUGUCUUCCAGGCUCGAGCCCAUUCUGGAGGUGGAGGUGGAGGUGGAGACGGAGGAGGGUGAGGGCGAGGUCGAUGAUCAAUUCCCAUUCAACAUUUCGGAACCCACCAUCUCCAACCAAGACAUUCGAGACCCUUGUGCCCCUGGACCAUCUACUACCCAUUUCUUGCCGCACAAAACCAUUCACCGCUGCAAGACCGCGCCGGCCUUGGCCGUUAUGCGAGACGCCAAAUCGCAGCCUGCCCAACUCCCCAAACCCAACUCUGACUCUACCUCCAUCAUCAGACAGGCCUUCUUCUUGCUCUUUCUCUAUCUCUCCCUGGGCGUAGUUAUCUACUCCUUCAAUCGGGACAACUUCUCCGGCAUCGAGACCCACGCCGUGGUCGACGCCCUUUACUUCUGUAUCGUCACCAUGUGCACCAUAGGCUAUGGCGAUAUCGCUCCCCUCACCCCCGCCACCAAGGUCUUCGCCUGCGUUUUUGUACUGGUGGGCUUUGGAUUCAUAGACAUAUUGUUGAGUGGGGUCGUGAAUUAUGUUCUUGAUUUGCAGGAGAACAUGAUUUUGACUGGCAUUCAGGUGGGUGGAGCACCAGCCGGUGGCUUUUCUGCUAGGAACUAUAUAGUCGAUGUGGAGAAGGGAAGAAUGAGAAUCAGAUUGAAAGUUGGGUUAGCUCUAGGAGUAGUUGUACUAUGCAUUGGUAUGGGCACAAUGGUGCUGUAUUUUGUGGAGAAUUUAGACUGGAUUGAUGCUGUUUACUUGUCUGUCAUGUCAGUCACCACGGUUGGAUAUGGGGAUAGGGCCUUCAAGACUCUGCCCGGUCGCUUGUUUGCUGCAAUUUGGCUUCUCUUCUCAACCCUGGCAGUGGCUCGGGCUUUUCUGUAUUUAGCAGAGGCAAGGAUUGAUAAGAGGCAUAGGAGAAUUACAAAGUGGGUGUUGCAUAGGGAAAUUACAGUCGAGGAUUUGCUUGCGGCUGAUAUCAACAACAAUGGUUUCAUUAGUAAAUCAGAAUAUGUCAUCUACAAGCUCAAGGAGAUGGGGAAGAUUGCGGAAAAUGAUGUAUUGCAGAUCUGUAAUCAGUUCAACAAGCUUGACCCCAACAACUCUGGAAAAAUAACCCUGCCUGAUCUCUUGGAGAAUCACUUGUGAUGAGAAAUGAAAUGGUCAUUUGAAUUCAAUGGCAGUGGCUGGGUUUUGAUUUCUCUGUUCUGAGCAAAGAGGCAGGAAUCAAGGCUGGCAAGUACCUUCCCAGCCUAAAUUUGCAAGUGGCAAGGAUAUGCAUUUCCAUCUCUUGCAAGUAAGCUUUUGCACAAGCAACUGUAAAUUUCAUGGAGAGUACAGAACUCAUCAAAUUCUUUUUGUGAUAUCAGAAGAAAAAGGAAUGACAGAAGAAACAGAUUGAAGACACUGGAUGCUUUCUCUCAUGUGGCUUCUUCUCUUUACAAGAUAACAUUUUGUUAAGAAAUCUAAUAGGCAUGGAGUCUUUCAAAUUGUAUGAUGUAUUGUUUGAUACUAAUGAUCUCAAAAGUGAACAGCAAUGAGAAAGGAUCAAAUGCCAUGGGAGCUCUGAUGGGACCAACUACAUCAUAGUCAUCAUUGGAAAAUCCAAAAGAAAUAAAAAAAAAAGGAUGGUGAUGAAGAACACAGAGCCUGUGCUGUCAUUUUCACCAAUGCCUUGCAGCCUGGUAGGAGGAAGCUCUGGGCCCUUAUAAUGGACCAAAAAUAUGUGAGACUAUAGAGAAUAGACAGAGUGGAGCACUGGAAGACUGGCUAGUUCCUCCAUCCAAUUCCACAGAUAUUGGCAGCCAUGAAUUGUAGUUUCCCCUCUAUCGUGGUAAGGAAAAUGAUGGUUCAAAGCUUUACUAAAAUGUACAGUAAUAUUGGGAGUGGACUGUUAGGGAGUGAUGCUGAUGUUUUGGUUACUUUUGUUUGUUUCUUUAUCAAAUGUGCCAAGUUUAAAAUUGUUGCAUUCAGCUGUAACCUAUUGUCAACCAGUUCGGAGCAUAUUCCUAAAA